AUAGGAGCUNUGCUGCAUGGUGGGGGUUGGAAAGUUUCGGCGGUUGGGGAUGGACUCGCGGCUUAUCAGCUUGUUGGUGGGGUAGUGGCUUACCAAGGCUUUGACGGGUAGCCGGCCUGAGAGGGUGACCGGCCACAUUGGGACUGAGAUACGGCCCAGACUCCUACGGGAGGCAGCAGUGGGGAAUAUUGCACAAUGGGCGGAAGCCUGAUGCAGCAACGCCGCGUGCGGGAUGACGGCCUUCGGGUUGUAAACCGCUUUCGCCUGUGACGAAGCGUGAGUGACGGUAAUGGGUAAAGAAGCACCGGCUAACUACGUGCCAGCAGCCGCGGUGAUACGUAGGGUGCGAGCGUUGUCCGGAUUUAUUGGGCGUAAAGGGCUCGUAGGUGGUUGAUCGCGUCGGAAGUGUAAUCUUGGGGCUUAACCCUGAGCGUGCUUUCGAUACGGGUUGACUUGAGGAAGGUAGGGGAGAAUGGAAUUCCUGGUGGAGCGGUGGAAUGCGCAGAUAUCAGGAGGAACACCAGUGGCGAAGGCGGUUCUCUGGGCCUUUCCUGACGCUGAGGAGCGAAAGCGUGGGGAGCGAACAGGCUUAGAUACCCUGGUAGUCCACGCUGUAAACGGUGGGUACUAGGUGUGGGGUCCAUUCCACGGGUUCCGUGCCGUAGCUAACGCUUUAAGUACCCCGCCUGGGGAGUACGGCCGCAAGGCUAAAACUCAAAGGAAUUGACGGGGCCCCGCACAAGCGGCGGAGCAUGCGGAUUAAUUCGAUGCAACGCGUAGAACCUUACCUGGGUUUGACA
rnacentral:rRNA from 1 species